GUCGAACGCUGGCGGCGUGCUUAACACAUGCAAGUCGAACGGUAAGGCCCUUCGGGGUACACGAGUGGCGAACGGGUGAGUAACACGGGGGUGAUCUGCCCUGAACUUCGGGAUAAGCCUGGGAAACUGGGUCUAAUACCGGAUAGGACCACUGCCUGCAUGGGUGGAGGUGGAAAGCGUUUGCGGUGUGGGAUGGGCCCGCGGCCUAUCAGCUUGUUGGUGGGGUGAUGGCCUACCAAGGCGACGACGGGUAGCCGGCCUGAGAGGGUGACCGGCCACACUGGGACUGAGAUACGGCCCAGACUCCUACGGGAGGCAGCAGUGGGGAAUAUUGCACAAUGGGCGCAAGCCUGAUGCAGCGACGCCGCGUGAGGGAUGACGGCCUUCGGGUUGUAAACCUGUUUCAGCACCGACGAAGCGCAAGUGACGGUAGGUGCAGAAGAAGGACCGGCCAACUACGUGCCAGCAGCCGCGGUAA
rnacentral:rRNA from 1 species